rnacentral:rRNA from 1 species
GCAAUGCCGCGUGAGUGAAGAAGGCCUUCGGGUUGUAAAGCUCUUUUGUCAGGGAAGAAACGGAUUUUUCUAAUACAGAGAUCUAAUGACGGUACCUGAAGAAUAAGCACCGGCUAACUACGUGCCAGCAGCCGCGGUAAUACGUAGGGUGCAAGCGUUAAUCGGAAUUACUGGGCGUAAAGCGUGCGCAGGCGGUUUUGUAAGACUGUCGUGAAAUCCCCGGGCUCAACCUGGGAAUGGCGAUGGUGACUGCAAGGCUAGAGUUUGGCAGAGGGGGGUAGAAUUCCACGUGUAGCAGUGAAAUGCGUAGAUAUGUGGAGGAACACCGAUGGCGAAGGCAGCCCCCUGGGUCAAAACUGACGCUCAUGCACGAAAGCGUGGGGAGCAAACAGGAUUAGAUACCCUGGUAGUCCACGCCCUAAACGAUGUCUACUAGUUGUCGGGUUUUAAUUAACUUGGUAACGCAGCUAA